UUUUUAUUCGAAAAUCUAUUCGUUAUUCGAAUAUUAUUCGUAUUCGCGAAUAAAACGUCUUUUUUAUUCAUUAUUCGCAAACAGAAGAAUUUUUUUUCGUUAUUCGACAGAACACUGCAAAUAGAAAAGCAGCAUAGAACAGCUAGCCUGUUCUUGUUUCUUGUCUGUUUGUCUGAUUGUGUCACAGUGUCAAGUGCUCGAGUUUCCUGUUUGUGUCUAUUAUAAUAUACGAUUUAAUUUCAUGAACAUUCGAAGAUGAGCCGGUGUUAAUUAUUUUGAGAAAAAGGGUGUUAUCUCAAAAACUCGAUGGCAAGCCAAGAGAUCCCAAUUGCAGCUUUUGUAUUUCUUUUCUUUUCUCGAUGCCAUUCAGCAAUGCAACUGCUGAAAGAUAAUUUAGUGUGUUUAAACUAAUCAAAACGGAUCACCGUAAUUCGCUCAAUAAUGUGACUGUUACUUCUCUUAUGCGAAUUAAGCAUUGGGGCGUAAACGAAGAUCAUUUCGCUUCUAAUGUUGUCAUAAAAAAAUACUUAUCGAUAAAGUAAAGUUUGUAAAGGCCAGUUUAUCCAUCCCAGAUGGAACACAGGAUUUGUAAUGUAUAAUUUUUGCCGUAAUUGUUAAUACCAAAAUAAGUUAUUCAGAAAUGUGUGUUUUUGGACGUUAAAUUUUCUUGUUAAUAAAAAUAAAAUUCGGAAAUCAGA